GACGAACGCUGGCGGCGUGCUUAACACAUGCAAGUCGAACGGAAAGGCCCUGCUUUUGUGGGGUGCUCGAGUGGCGAACGGGUGAGUAACACGUGAGUAACCUGCCCUUGACUUUGGGAUAACUUCAGGAAACUGGGGCUAAUACCGGAUAGGAGCUCCUGCUGCAUGGUGGGGGUUGGAAAGUUUCGGCGGUUGGGGAUGGACUCGCGGCUUAUCAGCUUGUUGAUGGGGUAGUGGCUUACCAAGGCUUUGACGGGUAGCCGGGCUGAGAGGGUGACCGGCCACAAUGGGACAGAGAUACGGCCAAGACUCCUACGGGAGGCAGCAGUGUGGAAUAUUGCACCAUGGGCGGAAGCCUGAUGCAGCAACGCCGCGUGCGGGAUAACGGCCUUCUGGUUGUAAACCGCUUUCGCCUGUGACGAAGCGUGAGUGACGGUAAUGGGUAAAGAAGCACCGGAUAACUACGUG
rnacentral:rRNA from 1 species